rnacentral:rRNA from 1 species
UGGGGAAUUUUGGACAAUGGGCGAAAGCCUGAUCCAGCAAUGCCGCGUGUGUGAAGAAGGCCUUCGGGUUGUAAAGCACUUUUGUCCGGAAAGAAAUCCUCUGGGUUAAUACCUCGGGGGGAUGACGGUACCGGAAGAAUAAGCACCGGCUAACUACGUGCCAGCAGCCGCGGUAAUACGUAGGGUGCAAGCGUUAAUCGGAAUUACUGGGCGUAAAGCGUGCGCAGGCGGUUUUGUAAGACGGAUGUGAAAUCCCCGGGCUUAACCUGGGAACUGCAUUCGUGACUGCAAGGCUAGAGUAUGGCAGAGGGGGGUAGAAUUCCACGUGUAGCAGUGAAAUGCGUAGAGAUGUGGAGGAAUACCGAUGGCGAAGGCAGCCCCCUGGGCCAAUACUGACGCUCAUGCACGAAAGCGUGGGGAGCAAACAGGAUUAGAUACCCUGGUAGUCCACGCCCUAAAACGAUGUCAACUAGUUGUUGGGGAUUCAUUUCCUUAGUAACGUAGCUAACGCGUGAAGUUGACCGCCUGGGGGAGUACGGUCGCAAGAUUAAAACUUAAAGGAAUUGACGGG